rnacentral:snRNA from 1 species
AGAUGUGAGGGUCAUCUGGCUGUGGCAUCUGUCACCCCAUGGAUGGCUAGAGUAGAUUUGCUGAUCUGGAUGGCUAGACCUGUCUCCUUCAUUCACAGCUCCAUCUAGGUCCCUCUCAAAGCUGCAUGGUUGUUGGAAGCUGAUGGCCUUCCCGAUAGAGGAGUACCAGUCGUUGGUCAAGGACGAUCAGGGCAUGUGAUUAGUUGCACUCCCCUGCUAGAGCUUCCAAGGGAAGCACUCAAGGGAACAGGUUAUGUGACAACAGGUUGGCU